GCAAACGGAGGGUAAAUGUAACUUAUUUUGAAUAGUACAAGGGCAAAUCUAACCCUUAACCGAAAAGAAAAAGAAAAAGAAAGAAAGAAGAGAAAACAGCAUUAAAUUGCUUGGAUAUGCAGUUGAAGUUAAAAGGUUGCACAAUUUCCGUUCACAAUCAAAUCCAUGGUCAAUUAAAAAUCCACCACCACCACCUACUCCUCUACAACGCCGUCGUUCUUUCAGUUUUCCAGCACUCUGCUACUCCCAUUUUAGCGUCCAAUUCCAGUGAAUUUUUAGCCAUUUUGGGUCAAAAUAAUUUCUCAAUUUUGCAGUCAAAAUUCACAUAUCUGAGGAUAAAACAGUAUUUGGGUUUUGCACAAAAUUCAUUUUGCUAUAAAAAAUUCUCAUAUUCUUGAACUUUAAAUCAAAACAGUAUCUGGGUUGUGCUCAAAAUUCAGUUGUCAGAUCACUUUUACAUAUAUUUUUUAAAGCAAAAUAGUAUCUGGGUUUGACACAAAAUUCCAUUUUGCUAUCAAAAUUCACAUAUUCUUGAACUUUAUGUCAGAUCACUUUUACAUAUAUUUUUUUUAAAGCAAAAUAGUAUCUGGUAUUGACACAAAAAUCCAUUUUGCUAUCAAAAUUCACAUAUUCUUGAACUUUAAAGCAAAAUAUUAUCUGGGUUGUGCUCAAAAUUCAGUUGUCAGACCAAUUUCACAUAUUUUUUAGCAAAACAGU
rnacentral:lncRNA from 1 species